rnacentral:rRNA from 1 species
GACGAACGCUGGCGGCGUGCUUAACACAUGCAAGUCGAACGGAAAGGCCCUGCUUUUGUGGGGUGCUCGAGUGGCGAACGGGUGAGUAACACGUGAGUAACCUUCCCUUGACUUUGGGAUAACUUCAGGAAACUGGGGCUAAUACCGGAUAGGAGCUCCUGCUGCAUGGUGGGGGUUGGAAAGUUUCGGCGGUUGGGGAUGGACUCGCGGCUUAUCAGCUUGUUGGUGGGGUAGUGGCUUACCAAGGCUUUGACGGGUAGCCGGCCUGAGAGGGUGACCGGCCACAUUGGGAAUGAGAUACGGCCCAGACUCCUACGGGAGGCAGCAGUGGGGAAUAUUGCACAAUGGGCGGAAGCCUGAUGCAGCAACGCCGCGUGCGGGAUGACGGCCUUCGGGUUGUAAACCGCUUUCGCCUGUGACGAAGCGUGAGUGACGGUAAUGGGUAAAGAAGCACCGGCUAACUACGUG